rnacentral:rRNA from 1 species
UACGGAGGGUGCAAGCGUUAUCCGGAUUCACUGGGCGUAAAGCGCACGUAGGCGGCUUGUUAAGUCAGGGGUGAAAUCCUGGAGCUCAACUCCAGAACUGCCUUUGACACUGGCGAGCUUGAGUCCGGGAGAGGUGAGUGGAACUGCGAGUGUAGAGGUGAAAUUCGUAGAUAUUCGCAAGAACACCAGUGGCGAAGGCGGCUCACUGGCCCGAUACUGACGCUGAGGCACGAAAGCGUGGGGAGCAAACAGG